rnacentral:rRNA from 1 species
AGUCGAACGGCAGCACGGGAGCAUCCUGGUGGCGAGUGGCGAACGGGUGAGUAAUACAUCGGAACGUGCCCUGUCGUGGGGGAUAACUAGUCGAAAGAUUAGCUAAUACCGCAUACGACCUGAGGGUGAAAGCGGGGGACCGUAGGGCCUCGCGCGAUAGGAGCGGCCGAUGUCUGAUUAGCUAGUUGGUGGGGUAAAGGCCCACCAAGGCGACGAUCAGUAGCUGGUCUGAGAGGACGAUCAGCCACACUGGGACUGAGACACGGCCCAGACUCCUACGGGAGGCAGCAGUGGGGAAUUUUGGACAAUGGGGGCAACCCUGAUCCAGCAAUGCCGCGUGUGUGAAGAAGGCCUUCGGGUUGUAAAGCACUUUUGUCCGGAAAGAAAUCCCUUGCCCUAAUACGGCGGGGGGAUGACGGUACCGGAAGAAUAAGCACCGGCUAACUACGUGCCAGCAGCCGCGGUAAUACGUAGGGUGCGAGCGUUAAUCGGAAUUACUGGGCGUAAAGCGUGCGCAGGCGGUUUUGUAAGACAGGCGUGAAAUCCCCGAGCUCAACUUGGGAAUGGCGCUUGUGACUGCAAGGCUAGAGUAUGUCAGAGGGGGGUAGAAUUCCACGUGUAGCAGUGAAAUGCGUAGAGAUGUGGAGGAAUACCGAUGGCGAAGGCAGCCCCCUGGGACGUCACUGACGCUCAUGCACGAAAGCG